GUAGGUUAUGGCGACAUCUACCCUAAAACUUUACUGGGAAAAAUUGUGGGGGGCCUCUGCUGCAUAGCUGGGGUGCUAGUGAUCGCACUUCCCAUACCAAUCAUUGUGAACAAU
rfam:Monodelphis domestica chromosome 3, whole genome shotgun sequence.